CCUACGGGGGGCUGCAGUGGGGAAUAUUGCACAAUGGGCGCAAGCCUGAUGCAGCCAUGCCGCGUGUGUGAAGAAGGCCUUCGGGUUGUAAAGCACUUUCAGCGGGGAGGAAGGCGGUGAGGUUAAUAACCUCAUCGAUUGACGUUACCCGCAGAAGAAGCACCGGCUAACUCCGUGCCAGCAGCCGCGGUAAUACGGAGGGUGCAAGCGUUAAUCGGAAUUACUGGGCGUAAAGCGCACGCAGGCGGUCUGUCAAGUCGGAUGUGAAAUCCCCGGGCUCAACCUGGGAACUGCAUUCGAAACUGGCAGGCUAGAGUCUUGUAGAGGGGGGUAGAAUUCCAGGUGUAGCGGUGAAAUGCGUAGAGAUCUGGAGGAAUACCGGUGGCGAAGGCGGCCCCCUGGACAAAGACUGACGCUCAGGUGCGAGAGCGUGGGGAGCAAACAGGAUUAGAUACCCGGGUAGUC
rnacentral:rRNA from 1 species